rnacentral:rRNA from 1 species
UACGUAGGGGGCUAGCGUUGUCCGGAAUCAUUGGGCGUAAAGCGCGUGUAGGCGGCCCGGUAAGUCCGCUGUGAAAGUCGGGGGCUCAACCCUCGGAUGCCGGUGGAUACUGUCGGGCUAGAGUGCGGAAGAGGCGAGUGGAAUUCCUGGUGUAGCGGUGAAAUGCGCAGAUAUCUGGAGGAAUACCGGUGGCGAAGGCGGCAUCCUGGACCGACAUUGACGCUGAGGAGCGAAAGCUAGGGGAGCAAACGGG